UACGUAGGGGACGAGCGUUGUCCGGAAUUAUUGGGCGUAAAGAGCGUGUAGGCGGCUCUGCAAGUCCUGCGUGAAAUCUCGAGGCUCAACCUCGAGCGGUCGUGGGAAACUGGAGGGCUAGAGUGCGGGAGAGGGAAGUGGAAUUCCAGGUGUAGCGGUGAAAUGCGCAGAUAUCAGGAGGAACACCGGUGGCGAAGGCGGGUCUCUGGGCAACAACUGACGCUGAGGAGCGAAAGCGUGGGGAGCGAACAGG
rnacentral:rRNA from 1 species